rnacentral:rRNA from 1 species
UCUACGGGCGGUAGCAGUGAGGAAUAUUGGUCAAUGGCCGGAAGGCUGAACCAGCCAAGCUGCGUGAAGGACGAAGGUGCCAAGCAUUGUAAACUUCUUUUGUCAAGGGACAAAAUCAGGCUCGAGAGCCUGACCGAGGGUACUUGAAGAAAAAGCAUCGGUUAACUCCGUGCCAGCAGCCGCGGUAAUACGGAGGAUGCGAGCGUUAUCCGGAUUUAUUGGGUUAAAAGGGUGCGUAGGCGGACUGUUAAGUCAGCGGUAAAAGCCCGGGGCUCAACCCCGGCGUGCCGUUGAAACUGUGUGUAUUGAGAUGGUGAGAGGUAUGCGGAAUGCGCGGUGUAGGGGUGAAAUGCUUAGAUAUUGAGCAGAAUUCCGAUUGCGAAGGCAGCAUACCGGCGGCGAUCUGACGCUGAGGCACGAAAGCGUGGGUAUCGAACAGGAUUAGAUACCCUUGUAGUC